rnacentral:rRNA from 1 species
ACUUUAAAAAUUAUAAGGUGGAAUUAGAAUUUUUUUGUGUAAUUUUGUUUGUAAUUUUAAAUUUUGGUUGAACGAACUAGAAUAGAACCUAGUUAGACAAAUAUUAAAAGAGCAGAAGUAAAGUUGUAUUUAAACUGAAAGGAUAUUGGCAGGUGAUCUAAAUUAUCUUUGGAGGCUGAGUAGUAAUUGAGAACCCUCAUUAGCUACUUUGUUUAUUUUCGCAUGUAUGAUCGUUUAUUUAAAUCUUAAAGGUAGUAAUAAAAGAUUAAUUUUUCUAUAAAAACAGAUAAAUACCUGGUAUAUAAUUAAAGUAAGAUUUGGCCUACAUUAUUUUAUAAUGUGGAUAAUAUUUUUGGCAG